GACGAACGCUGGCGGCGUGCCUAAUACAUGCAAGUCGAACGAGUGGCGGACGGGUGAGUAAUGUCUGGGAAACUGCAUGAUGGAGGGGGAUAACUACUGGAAACGGUAGAUAAUACCGCAUACCAUCAGAUGUGCCCAGAUGGGAUGAGAUUGUUGGUGGGGUAACGGCUCACAAAGGCGACUAUCCCUAGCUGGUCUGAGAGGAAGACCAGCCACACUGGAACUGAGACACGGUCCAUACUCCUACGGGAGGCAGCAGUGGGGAAUAUUGCACAAUGGGCGCAAGCCUGAUGCAGCCAUGCCGCGUGUAUGAAGAAGGCCUUCGGGUUGUAAAGUACUUUCAGCGGGGAGGCGUUACCCGCAGAAGAAGCACCGGCUAACUCCGUGCCAGCAGCCGCGGUAAUUC
rnacentral:rRNA from 1 species